AAAGUAGGGAAAAGAGGUGGCAAGGAUGCUGCCGAUUUCUGUCGAAACGUUAUGGCCCAAAUAAUGACCAACACUUUAGCCCGCGAGUACUCGUGGAAAGGGCAGAAGAAUAACAGAAACUUUCAAAAGACACACAGCAGAUACUAUUAUUGAAGUAAUGUUAGAAAAAUAUCCUGAAACCACCGAAUUCGAAAUCGAGAAGGCACUCGGCAAUUGACUACGCAAAACGGGAGAUCUUAUCAAAAAUGAACUUAAGAAAGCUAAUGCAGCACAAGAUACUAGAUAGAAGACUUCCGAAUAAAAAGAAAAUACGAAACAAUGAAAAAAGCUUUAACUCACUUGAGUCAUUCGAAUUAAGUUACGAUUAAGAAGUAUGUAUAAAUUAGUGUAAAACACUUAAUAAGGGA